rnacentral:rRNA from 1 species
UACGGGGGGGGCAAGCGUUGUUCGGAAUUACUGGGCGUAAAGGGCUCGUAGGCGGCCAACUAAGUCAGACGUGAAAUCCCUCGGCUUAACCGGGGAACUGCGUCUGAAACUGCCUGGCUUGAGGCCGGGAGGGGGUAGCGGAAUUCCCAGUGUAGCGGUGAAAUGCGUAGAUAUUGGGAGGAACACCAGUGGCGAAGGCGGCUACCUGGACCGGUUCUGACGCUGAUGCGCGAAAGCGUGGGUAGCAAACAGG